rnacentral:rRNA from 1 species
AUUGAACGCUGGCGGCAGGCCUAACACGUGCAAGUCGAACGGUAACAGGAAGAAGCUUGCUUCUUUGCUGACGAGUGGCGGACGGGUGAGUAAUGUCUGGGAAACUGCCUGAUGGAGGGGGAUAACUACUGGAAACGGUAGCUAAUACCGCAUAACGUCGCAAGACCAAAGAGGGGGACCUUCGGGCCUCUUGCCACCGGAUGUGCCCAGAUGGGAUUAGCUAGUAGGUGGGGUAACGGCUCACCUAGGCGACGAUCCCUAGCUGGUCUGAGAGGAUGACCAGCCACACUGGAACUGAGACACGGUCCAGACUCCUACGGGAGGCAGCAGUGGGGAAUAUUGCACAAUGGGCGCAAGCCUGAUGCAGCCAUGCCGCGUGUAUGAAGAAGGCCUUCGGGUUGUAAAGUACUUUCAGCGGGGAGGAAGGGAGUAAAGUUAAUACCUUUACUCAUUGACGUUACCCGCAGAAGAAGCACCGGCUAACUCCGUG